UUUGCUGUCUUUGUCCUUUGAGAAGAUCGGCCAUUUGUGUGUCGCACGUCGUUGUGUUCCCGCGUGGCGAUUUUUAAUCCAAGAUCAUCCAUUUGAUUUUAGAUAGUUAAGGCAUACAAAUUAAUUUAAAUAAGUGGUAGACAAGUUUUAAGUAAUUUGAAAAGCUUAUAAUGAGAGCAAAGUGGAGAAAGAAGAGAAUGAGGAGGUUAAAGAGGAAGCGAAGGAAGAUGAGGGAAAGGUCUAAGUAGGAAGGAAAAAAGGGUACAGUUAUUUGAAGAUCCAAGAAGUCUGUACUGGCUUUCCCCUUAAGAUGCAAUUGGAUGUAUGAACUGUACCAAAAUUUCUUAGUUAUUCUAAGAAAUGUUUCUCAUUGUAAUAAGUUUAUUUCAUACUUUCAAUAAAGUAUUGAAUUUACAGAUA